GGAAUAUUGGACAAUGGGCGAAAGCCUGAUCCAGCCAUGCCGCGUGUGUGAAGAAGGUCUUCGGAUUGUAAAGCACUUUAAGUUGGGAGGAAGGGCAUUAACCUAAUACGUUAGUGUCUUGACGUUACCGACAGAAUAAGCACCGGCUAACUCUGUGCCAGCAGCCGCGGUAAUACAGAGGGUGCAAGCGUUAAUCGGAAUUACUGGGCGUAAAGCGCGCGUAGGUGGUUUGUUAAGUUGAAUGUGAAAUCCCCGGGCUCAACCUGGGAACUGCAUCCAAAACUGGCAAGCUAGAGUAUGGUAGAGGGUAGUGGAAUUUCCUGUGUAGCGGUGAAAUGCGUAGAUAUAGGAAGGAACACCAGUGGCGAAGGCGACUACCUGGACUGAUACUGACACUGAGGUGCGAAAGCGUGGGGAGCAAACAGGAUUAGAUACCCUUG
rnacentral:rRNA from 1 species